rnacentral:misc_RNA from 1 species
AAAAAAAAAAAAAAAAAAAUCCCCUUUCCACAACACCAAAUUGUACUAUUAACAUCCAAAAAAAAGAAAAAGAAAAUAGGUAGCUAUGGCAACUACUACUUCACAUGCCACAAAUACAUGGAUUAAGACUAAGUUGUCAAUGCCAUCAUCAAAGGAGUUUGGUUUUGCAUCAAACUCUAUUUCUCUACUCAAAAAUCAACAUAAUAGGCAAAGUCUCAACAUUAAUUCCUCUCUUCAAGCUCCACCUAUACUUCAUUUUCCUAAACAAUCUUCAAAUUAUCAAACACCAAAGAAUAAUACAAUUUCACACCCAAAACAAGAAAACAACAACUCCUCUUCUUCUUCAACUUCCAAGUGGAAUUUAGUGCAGAAAGCAGCAGCAAUGGCUUUAGAUGCUGUAGAAAGUGCUUUAACUAAACAUGAACUUGAACACCCUUUGCCGAAAACAGCCGACCCACGAGUCCAGAUUUCUGGGAAUUUUGCUCCGGUACCGGAAAAUCCAGUCUGUCAAUCUCUUCCGGUCACCGGAAAAAUACCCAAAUGUGUUCAAGGCGUUUACGUUCGAAACGGAGCUAACCCUCUUUUUGAACCAACCGCCGGACACCAUUUCUUCGACGGCGACGGUAUGGUUCACGCCGUUCAAUUCAAAAAUGGGUCGGCUAGUUACGCUUGCCGUUUCACUGAAACAGAGAGGCUUGUUCAAGAAAAAGCUUUGGGUCGCCCUGUUUUCCCUAAAGCCAUUGGUGAAUUACAUGGUCACUCUGGAAUUGCAAGGCUUAUGCUGUUUUACGCUCGUGGGCUCUUCGGACUUGUUGAUCACAGUAAAGGAACUGGUGUUGCAAACGCCGGUUUAGUCUAUUUCAAUAACCGAUUACUUGCUAUGUCUGAAGA